AGAGAUAAUGAAGGAUGCACGCCCAACAAAAGAUAUGCCCGCAGCGGGUGAUCUUUGCUGCUGUAGGUGGGUACAGACAGAUUGGGCAAGAGGGCACUUCAUGGCUGCAAAUGCGCACUUGUUCCACAAAGUCCCAGUUGACCAAGGUAUCUGGAUCAGCAAAGUGGACUGUGUAGUCCUGUUCUUCAGAGACAACAAACUGGCAGUUGGCCUGUAGGAAGAGCUCCUUGUUGAAAGGCUUAUGUCCCCACUUGUUCCUUUUCCCCCAGUUGCCAUGUCCAUUCCCGUCAAAAUGACCAGUCUGGCCACGGGGUUCAAAAGUGAAGUUCAGCAAGUGGUUCAGAUUAAUCUUCUUGGGACCAGAGAACUGGGCAGGACUGAACUCUGCCCGUUGAGCCUCUGCUACCUCAUCUCGUCUUCCACCAUUACUAGAGCUAAAAAGUUUGCCACUUCCACCGCUACCGCCCCUCUGAGGGGGCAUCUUGUUAAAAGCUUUGCUUUUCUGUGAAUUGGAGCGACGGGACUGGCUGGAAAAGUUCUCAUUUUUGGAAUAUGAAGUUUCUCUUUUCCGAUUGUAGCGCUGUUUGGAUCCAUUUGUAUUCUUUCCAUCGCCUUUGGGCUUAGACUCCCCAGCGGCGGGCCCGGCCGAGGCGGAGCGCGGCGGCUGCGCUUUGCCGGCGGCUGAGGAGCCGGGCGCACCGGGGCCGCAGGGGCCGCUCUUGUCCAUGGCGGGGGCGGAGGAGGGGGGCGCGCCGGGCGGGCUCUGCAGCAUCAACGGGCGCCCCGGCGGGCGAGCGGCGGCCCUGGGUGGGGGGGCACGACGGGCGCUGGAGGAGCCGGCGGGGGCCCAGGCUCAUGGCCCGCGGGGGGGACCGGCGGGGGCGGCGCAGCGCGGUCUCGGCCUCCUUCAUGGCGACAUCUUCUCGGCGCUCCGCUCGAACCGGGGGAAGGCCGCGGAAGGCCGGGCCGGGCCUGCGGGGCUCCGGGCGACGAAGAAAAAAAGCUACUGACGGAGCCCCGCGGGGCCCGGCUCUGCCUGCCGCCCGCGCGGUCGGCGCCACACAGGCACCCUACGGCUCCUCGGCGCCGCCCCGGCCCCGGCUCGGCCGCCGCCGCUGCCCCGUAAUGGCGACGAGUCGCC
rnacentral:lncRNA from 1 species